UACGGAGGUCCCAAGCGUUGUUCGGAAUCACUGGGCGUAAAGGGAGCGUAGGCGGCGUGGUAAGUCAGAUGUGAAAUCCCGGGGCUCAACCCCCGGAACUGCAUCCGAUACUGCCAUGCUAGAGGAUUGGAGAGGUAGCUGGAAUUCUUGGUGUAGCAGUGAAAUGCGUAGAGAUCAAGAGGAACACUCGUGGCGAAAGCGAGCUACUGGACAAUUCCUGACGCUGAGGCUCGAAGGCUAGGGUAGGCGAAAGGG
rnacentral:rRNA from 1 species